CAGCAGCCGCGGUAAUACGGAGGGUGCAAGCGUUACUCGGAAUUACUGGGCGUAAAGCGUGCGUAGGUGGUGGUUUAAGUCCGUUGUGAAAGCCCUGGGCUCAACAUGGGAAUUGCAGUGGAUACUGGGUCACUAGAGUGUGGUAGAGGAUAGUGGAAUUUCCGGUGUAGCAGUGAAAUGCGUAGAGAUCGGAAGGAACAUCUGUGGCGAAGGCGACUAUCUGGGCCAACACUGACACUGAGGCACGAAAGCGUGGGGAGCAAACAGGAUUAGAUACCCGCGUAGUCCCUGUCUCUUAUAC
rnacentral:rRNA from 1 species